GAGUACUCUUGUAUGCGGAUCAGGGCCGGGUAGGUAAGGCACUUCUCUUGGGAUGAAGGUAUGUUAGGUUCGAACCCUAAUGAUCCGAUUUAGAUCUUAUAGAGAUAAACAUCCAAUUUAGAAUUUGGAUAAAAAUUAAAAUUUGAAAAUAUGUUCUAAAAUAUAUAGAAUAUAAAUAAAACUUUUCAAAUAAAAUAAAUAGAAAUAAAAUAAAAAUUAAAUAUAUGUAAUUUAUACUUGUAUAUAUUUGUAAUGUUUAUUUACUUAUAUAUACAUAAGUAUACAAAGAAAUUAUUAUGGAAUUUUAGCUGUAUAUUAAAGAGAAGAUGUAUAACUAUAAUAUUACAUAUUAUAAGUUAUAUAAACUCUAAGAGAAAUUAAAUUUUAAACUAAGCAAAUUGAAAUAUCUCAGUAGCUUAAGGAAAAGAAAUCAAAAGAGAUUCUAAAAAUAGCGUGAGUGAAAUUAGAAAAGUCUGAAAGUAAAAUUGUAUAUAAACUGUUUGAACUAUAUGGGGAACCUUCCUCAAAGACUAAAUAUAAUAUACAAGCGAUAGUGAAAACGUACCAUGAGGGAAAAUUAGAAAAAUAGUAAUUUUAUAAGCAGUUCGAUGUAUAAACUAUAGAACGUACCUUUUGCAUAAUGGGUCACCAAGUUAACAUUAGAUGCGAGAAAAUGCGUAGUUAAACCGGACGUUAAAAUAACGAUAAGAGUAUCUAAAGUUAGACCCGAAGCCUGGUGAUUUUACCAUAAUCAGGAUUAUAAAAGUCCGAACGGUUUAUUGUUGCAAAAAUAUCCGAAGAAUUAUGGUAGGUAUAGUGAAAGACAAAACUGACCAGGAUAGCUGGUUUUCUGCGAAACCUAUAAUAGUAGGCAAUUCAAGAAAAUAUCUUAGCAGGUACAGAACUUAAUCUCAGACAAGACAAAUAUUGUCAUAUUUUGUACAUAUUGGGGGAUCGUGAAGAUUUUACCAGUGAGUAUGCAGACUCGGAAUGGCAAAGAUAAAACUUGAAUGAUCAGACAUAGAAUGAUAAGGUUGUAUGUCAAAAGGGAAACAGCCCAGAACAAGAGUUAAGGUUCCUAAAUUAUUAGUUAAGUGAAAUGAAGAAUGUAUUUAUUAAAGUCGACAAGGAGAUAGGCUUAGAAGCAGCCAUAAUUUUAUGAUCUCGUAACAGAGCACUUGUUAAGGUAUAAAUAGCAUCGAUAAUUUAACGGAUCUAAACAAUAUACCGAAACCUUGUCCAUCUUAUAUUAUAAAGAGAAUUCUUUUUAUAAUUUAAUGGGGUAGCAGAACGUUGAAUUAAGUUAUGACUUUUAUUUUUCAAAUAAAAUUAUAAUUAUUUAAUUCAAGUGAGAAUGGUGACAUGAGUAACUAAAAGAAAAAAAAAAUUUUUUCCGCCUAAAGCUUAUGGAUAGAUUUAAGUACGGCCUCUAAGUUUUACAAUCUAAAGAUUGAAACGAUGAGAAAAUCUUAUAUUAUUAAUGACAACAUUUUAGUGGAAAAUGUGCUGGAAAAAUAAUAAUAUAUUAUUUGUUUUUAACAAAUAAAAAUUAACCGUACCUAGAAACUGAUACAAGUAAGCAAGUAGAGAAUACGAAGGCGCGUGAGCUAACAAUCAUAAAGGAACUCGGCAAAUUGACUACUGUAACUUCGGAAUAAGGAGGGCUCAUAAUUCUUGAUUAAUAUCAAGUAAAAGGGAAGAAGCAUGAAAUAAUGUUGUACGACUGUUUAAUUAAAACACAGCACUUUGCUGAAAGAUAAAAAAAUCUAAGUAUAAAGUGUGAAAUCUGCCCGGUGCCGGCUGGUUAAUCGAGAUAAUUGAAUGAUUUAACAUUUGAUGUUGACAGAACCCCCGGUUAAAGGCGGCCUUAACGUGAGGGUCCUAAGGUAGCGAAAUGCCUUGGCCGUUAAAUGCGGUCUUGCAUGAAUGGUGUAACGAUACAACAGCUGUCUCUAUGAUUGACUCAGUGAAAUUGGAAUAGCUGUGCAGAUACAGCUUACCUCUAGUUAGACGAGAAGACCCUAUGCAGCUUUACUGUCACUAAUUAUAGAGUAUGAUAAACAUCUUUCAGGCUAGAAGGUAGUAGAUAGAUAUAACAAUGAGAACCCUUCAAUUGUUUUUCAUAUGAAUGAGACGGUUUAAAAAUAAUUUAUUAAGAUAGGGGAUUUAACCUCUUUCAAAAUAAAUAGUUUUUAAAUUCACCUAGUCUCUGCCUAUUUUAGGUGACCUUAGUGGAGGAACUAUUACUAGGAGACAGUUUAUGUGGGGCACAGACCCUGUAAAGAGUAAACAGGAGUGUCUAAUAAUUUCAAAUUUUGUUUGUAAUUUUAAAUAGUUUUACUAUUUUUUAUCGUAUUAACUUAUUUAUAUAUACACAUUUGUUAUUCAAAUAAUAAAUUGUUGUGUAUAUAUUUAAAAAAAAUAGGAAGGUAGGAUUUUCACUAGGUAGAAGUUAGUGAUAAUUGAGAAGAUUAUGAAUUUUCAUUCUAAUCUUUUUUAGCUAUUAAUUAAUUAAUAGUAAUGUGUGAUAUUUACAAAGCUCAACGGCUAAAUCCUGCCUUACUGUUUGAUUAUCUACAAAUCUUACAGUUGCGUAAGCAGGGCAUAGGAUCACAAGAUACAAUAAGGAAAGAUCUUGGAUUAUUGGAAAAGCUACGCUAGGGAUGUUUGUCCUUUAAUAUUUUAUUUGAGCUAAGAGCUCUUAAAAUAAUUGAUAUAAAUUGGGUAAAUUUCAAAAAUUACUUAAGAUAGUAAAUUUGAAGCGGAAUUUAUUUUAGCAUAUGUUAUAAAAUAAAAACGUUCAACGACUAUAAGGUGAAUGUUAUGCAAUACAUGAUAAUCCUUUUAAACUACCCAACAUUUUUAUGGCUAUAGGUUAAAGCUAUAAUAAGCAUAUAAAAAGAAAUAAAAAGAAAUAAAUAAUAAAU
rnacentral:sRNA from 1 species